GGAAACCAAUAUUUUGUGGUGGGUGGACCAAUAUAUUGGUAUAAGCUUGUUGCCCAAUGUUUCUUUGCUCAAUUUUAUGAACCAAUAGAUUGUUCCAGGGGAACCAAUCGAUUGGUUCUUGGAAUUUUUCCAGAAAUUCCAUUUUUAAAUCAUCCUCUUCAUCCUCAACCCAUUCUAAACCCUACCCAAACAUGUUCUAACAUGGAUAAAUAUUUUACAAGAUUAAUUUAUCAUUAAAACAUAGUUGUAUGACAUAAUUUACACACCACUAUUUUUCUC
rnacentral:lncRNA from 1 species